rnacentral:rRNA from 1 species
UACGGAGGGGGCUCGCGUUGUUCGGAAUUACUGGGCGUAAAGCGCACGUAGGCGGCUUUGUAAGUUAGAGGUGAAAGCCCGGGGCUCAACUCCGGAAUUGCCUUUAAGACUGCAUCGCUAGAAUUGUGGAGAGGUAAGUGGAAUUCCGAGUGUAGAGGUGAAAUUCGUAGAUAUUCGGAAGAACACCAGUGGCGAAGGCGACUUACUGGACACAUAUUGACGCUGAGGUGCGAAAGCGUGGGGAGCAAACAGG